rnacentral:rRNA from 1 species
UACAGAGGGUGCGAGCGUUGUCCGGAAUCACUGGGCGUAAAGGGCGCGUAGGUGGCGAGCCAAGUCCAUGGUGAAAGCUCGAUGCUCAACAUCGAGUCGGCCACGGAUACUGGUGCGCUUGAGCACUGUAGAGGCUAAUGGAAUUCCGGGUGUAGCGGUGGAAUGCGUAGAGAUCCGGAAGAACACCGGUGGCGAAGGCGGUCUGCUGGGCAGUAGCUGACACUGAUGCGCGACAGCGUGGGGAGCAAACAGG